UACGAAGGGGGCUAGCGUUGUUCGGAAUCACUGGGCGUAAAGGGCGCGUAGGCGGCCGAUCAAGUCGGGGGUGAAAGCCUGUGGCUCAACCACAGAAUUGCCUUCGAUACUGUUUGGCUUGAGACCGGAAGAGGUUAGUGGAACUGCGAGUGUAGAGGUGAAAUUCGUAGAUAUUCGCAAGAACACCAGUGGCGAAGGCGGCUCACUGGCCCGGAACUGACGCUGAGGUGCGAAAGCGUGGGGAGCAAACAGG
rnacentral:rRNA from 1 species